UAACACAUGCAAGUCGAGCGGAUGAAGGGAGCUUGCUCCUGGAUUCAGCGGCGGACGGGUGAGUAAUGCCUAGGAAUCUGCCUGGUAGUGGGGGAUAACGUCCGGAAACGGGUGCUAAUACCGCAUACGUCCUGAGGGAGAAAGUGGGGGAUCUUCGGACCUCACGCUAUCAGAUGAGCCUAGGUCGGAUUAGCUAGUUGGUUGGGUAAAGGCCUACCAAGGCGACGAUCCGUAACUGGUCUGAGAGGAUGAUCAGUCACACUGGAACUGAGACACGGUCCAGACUCCUACGGGAGGCAGCAGUGGGGAAUAUUGGACAAUGGGCGAAAGCCUGAUCCAGCCAUGCCGCGUGUGUGAAGAAGGUCUUCGGAUUGUAAAGCACUUUAAGUUGGGAGGAAGGGCAGUAAGUUAAUACCUUGCUGUUUUGACGUUACCAACAGAAUAAGCACCGGCUAACUUCGUGCCAGCAGCCGCGGUAAUACGAAGGGUGCAAGCGUUAAUCGGAAUUACUGGGCGUAAAGCGCGCGUAGGUGGUUCAGCAAGUUGGAUGUGAAAUCCCCGGGCUCAACCUGGGAACUGCAUCCAAAACUACUGAGCUAGAGUACGGUAGAGGGUGGUGGAAUUUCCUGUGUAGCGGUGAAAUGCGUAGAUAUAGGAAGGAACACCAGUGGCGAAGGCGACCACCUGGACUGAUACUGACACUGGAGGUGCGAAAGCGUGGGGAGCAAAC
rnacentral:rRNA from 1 species